CCUACGGGCGGCUGCAGUGAGGAAUAUUGGUCAAUGGGCGCGAGCCUGAACCAGCCAAGUCGCGUGAAGGAUGACGGUCCUAUGGAUUGUAAACUUCUUUUGUGCAGGAAUAAAGUGAGGAACGUGUUCCUUUUUGUAUGUACUGUACGAAUAAGCAUCGGCUAACUCCGUGCCAGCAGCCGCGGUAAUACGGAGGAUGCGAGCGUUAUCCGGUUUAAAGGGGUUUAAGGGGGGCUGAGAAGUGCGGGGUGAAAGGUUGCAGCUUAACUGUAAAAUUGCCAUUGAAACUGUUAGUCUUGAGUGCAAAUGAGGUAGGCGGAAUGUGUUGUGUAGCGGUGAAAUGCUUAGAUAUAACACAGAACUCCGAUUGCGAAGGCAGCUUACUGGGAUGCAACUGACGCUGAUGCACGAAAGCGUGGGUAUCAAACAGGAUUAGAUACCCCAGUAGUC
rnacentral:rRNA from 1 species